AUAACCUGUGCUCGAUUUUUCUGUUGUUAUUGUUUACUGUUUAAAUGUUGUCUGUCAAAACGUUCCAACACCGACAGCCUUGCAAUAACGAUUUUCGCCAUCUCCGUAACAUUUAAAAAUCAUUAAAUUAGAUGUGAAUUGUUCUUGGAAUUCAUAACUGGAACCACUAAUAAUACAGUUCAGUGGUUUAUCUCUAUUAAUUGUUCUUCUUGCGAUGUUAUUUAAUGUCUCCAGUGCAUUUUAUAGGAUGGCUUUGCUGAGAGCAAGUUCAGCCAUCGCGAGUUUAAAGCUUACAGUGAAGGCAGCAGGGUGUUCUCAUCGAGUUCGGAACAAGCAAGGUCAUAUCCGGCGACAUUAGGAGAAUAUCCGACAACAUUAGGAGAAAAGCAAUAUGUGCCAAUCCAGGUAGACCAAAAAAAACUGAAAAUGAGCAGUUUGUCGGAAAGGAUUUAUUCAUCAUCAAACGAAUCGAGGAGAAAAAUAUUGUGCUGGCAGAAUAACAAAAUACCAUAAUCGAAUAUCGCGGCUCUCUACAACACGAUUGCUAUCGAAACGCAGAAAUUAAGCCACCGAAAAGCAGAAGUAACUUCCUGAUCGUUUCCCAUCGGAGGGACUAGAGGCGAUCUCCAGAUGAUCGGCGUUGGAUAUCAAAAAGUUUGAAGCGAUGCCACUGCCUUUACCCAUGCCAAGGAUUAGAAGACCGGUGCCUCAUUCAACAUGGUGACAACAUUACUCAAUGGUUUUCCGAUGCAGCGCAGUAUUUUGGUACCUGUAGAAGCUGAAAAGGUAUGCUUCCGAGGAACUCUGUUAGAAGUUUGCAGUCAGGUGCAAGUCCUAAUCAUCCACAAUCCACAAAAACAAAUCAGGCUGUCCACGAAACCGUUGCUUUACCUUAUCUGCAUCACUCAUCCACCGAAAACCUGCUCUA